rnacentral:rRNA from 1 species
UGAGGAAUAUUGGUCAAUGGGGGCAUCCCUGAACCAGCCAAGUCGCGUGAAGGAUGAAGGUCUUAUGGAUUGUAAACUUCUUUUAUACAGGAAUAAAUUGGGGGACGUGUCCCCUUUUGCAUGUACUGUAUGAAUAAGGAUCGGCUAACUCCGUGCCAGCAGCCGCGGUAAUACGGAGGAUCCGAGCGUUAUCCGGACUUAUUGGGUUUAAAGGGUGCGCAGGCGGGAUGUUAAGUCGGCGGUGAAAUUUUGCAGCUCAACUGUAAAAGUGCCUUCGAUACUGGCUUCCUUGAGUGUAGAUGAAGUAGGCGGAAUUUGUGGUGUAGCGGUGAAAUGCUUAGAUAUCACGAGGAACUCCGAUUGCGCAGGCAGCUUACUAAACUACAACUGACGCUCAUGCACGAAGGCGUGGGGAUCAAACA